rnacentral:rRNA from 1 species
CGUAUCACCCAAGACAACUUUACGGAGUUGACGAUUGACGGAGCGAAGCGACGUCAAAGCGUUCAUUAAAGUCGAGUUGGCUUAGGGAUACGUUCGUUGGGUAGGGGAGCGUUCUGUAAGCCUGUGAAGGUGGCCUGUGAGGGUUGCUGGAGGUAUCAGAAGUGCGAAUGCUGACAUAAGUAACGAUAAAGCGGGUGAAAAGCCCGCUCGCCGGAAGACCAAGGGUUCCUGUCCAACGUUAAUCGGGGCAGGGUGAGUCGACCCCUAAGGCGAGGCCGAAAGGCGUAGUCGAUGGGAAACGGGUUAAUAUUCCCGUACUUGGUGUUACUGCGAAGGGGGGACGGAGAAGGCUAUGUUGGCCGGGCGACGGUUGUCCCGGUUUAAGCGUGUAGGUGUGUGUUCCAGGUAAAUCCGGUUCACUUUAACACUGAGGCGUGAUGACGAGGCACUACGGUGCUGAAGCAACAAAUGCCCUGCUUCCAGGAAAAGCCUCUAAGCAUCAGGUAACAUCAAAUCGUACCCCAAACCGACACAGGUGGUCAGGUAGAGAAUACCAAGGCGCUUGAGAGAACUCGGGUGAAGGAACUAGGCAAAAUGGUGCCGUAACUUCGGGAGAAGGCACGCUGACACGUAGGUGAAGUGAUUUACUCACGGAGCUGAAGUCAGUCGAAGAUACCAGCUGGCUGCAACUGUUUAUUAAAAACACAGCACUGUGCAAACACGAAAGUGGACGUAUACGGUGUGACGCCUGCCCGGUGCCGGAAGGUUAAUUGAUGGGGUCAGCGCAAGCGAAGCUCCUGAUCGAAGCCCCGGUAAACGGCGGCCGUAACUAUAACGGUCCUAAGGUAGCGAAAUUCCUUGUCGGGUAAGUUCCGACCUGCACGAAUGGCGUAAUGAUGGCCAGGCUGUCUCCACCCGAGACUCAGUGAAAUUGAACUCGCUGUGAAGAUGCAGUGUACCCGCGGCAAGACGGAAAGACCCCGUGAACCUUUACUAUAGCUUGACACUGAACAUUGAGCCUUGAUGUGUAGGAUAGGUGGGAGGCUUUGAAGUGUGGACGCCAGUCUGCAUGGAGCCGACCUUGAAAUACCACCCUUUAAUGUUUGAUGUUCUAACGUGGACCCGUGAUCCGGGUUGCGGACAGUGUCUGGUGGGUAGUUUGACUGGGGCGGUCUCCUCCUAAAGAGUAACGGAGGAGCACGAAGGUUGGCUAAUCCUGGUCGGACAUCAGGAGGUUAGUGCAAUGGCAUAAGCCAGCUUGACUGCGAGCGUGACGGCGCGAGCAGGUGCGAAAGCAGGUCAUAGUGAUCCGGUGGUUCUGAAUGGAAGGGCCAUCGCUCAACGGAUAAAAGGUACUCCGGGGAUAACAGGCUGAUACCGCCCAAGAGUUCAUAUCGACGGCGGUGUUUGGCACCUCGAUGUCGGCUCAUCACAUCCUGGGGCUGAAGUAGGUCCCAAGGGUAUGGCUGUUCGCCAUUUAAAGUGGUACGCGAGCUGGGUUUAGAACGUCGUGAGACAGUUCGGUCCCUAUCUGCCGUGGGCGCUGGAGAACUGAGGGGGGCUGCUCCUAGUACGAGAGGACCGGAGUGGACGCAUCACUGGUGUUCGGGUUGUCAUGCCAAUGGCACU